AGGGAUUGUCCAAAAAGAAAUUUCUGCCCAGCCCAUGACUUCAAGCAUGUCAACAGCCUUGGGUCCUCUCUCUCUCACUGUGUGCCGUGCAACAAGAGAGGGAAACGUUGCUAUAGAAAUCAAAUGUGCUGCCCCCGUAACCAGUGUCACAACUAUGUCUGCCUCCCAGUCGUAUCCAGGCACAGCGUGUUGUACUCCCGCCUUCCAUAUGCACGCAGCUUCGCUCCAAAACCAACAACACACAGCAGACCACCUCGGGUCAAAGGUGUGUGUGUGCGCUCGUCCGACUGCAGGCCGGGUGAUUGUUGUGCGCGCCGGCUCUGGAUGCGCGUGUGUAAGCCGCGGCCGAAGGUCGGAGAGGUGUGUGUGGGCGACGCCCGGAAGAAAGAGAUGCAGCGACUGGAGCUGUACCAGCGCUGUCCCUGUGAGACGGGACUCACCUGCUCUCCUCACACAGACUCUCUCUCUCACACAAACACACACGCUCAGGCUCACACACACUCUCAAGCUCACACACGAACACAGCCCCGCAAGCUUGCUCACAGACUACAUACAUGCCAGAUGACAAAGCCCAGUUAACGUAAGACUACACACACACACACACACACACACACACACACACACACACACACACACAGUCAUAUCAAAUGGGAGAUAUAUAAUCUUCAUAUAUUAGUCUGUUUUGGAUAAAGUGGGAUAUAGUGAGGGCUAGCAAGUGUGUAUUCGUGUGUGUGUGUGUGUGUGUGUGGCGGUGUCCUCUCAUAAUCAGCUAUGAUAUAGAGAGCACUUAGCCAACAAUCUGACAGCAGGAGAAUAAAGAUGUUUAACGGUCCAACAUUCCAAAUUAGACACAC